rnacentral:rRNA from 1 species
UGGGGAAUCUUGGACAAUGGGGGAAACCCUGAUCCAGCAACGCCGUGUGAGUGAUGAAGGUCUUCGGAUUGUAAAGCUCUGUUAGCCGGGAAAAAACUCGUGAGCAUCAGAUCCUCACGAUUGAUGGUACCGGCAGAGGAAGCACCGGCUAACUCUGUGCCAGCAGCCGCGGUAAUACAGAGGGUGCGAGCGUUAAUCGGAAUUACUGGGCGUAAAGCGCACGUAGGUGGCGACGUAAGUCGGGUGUGAAAGCCCCGGGCUCAACCUGGGAAUUGCAUUCGAGACUGCAUUGCUGGAGUACGGAAGAGGAGGGCGGAAUUCCCGGUGUAGCGGUGAAAUGCGUAGAUAUCGGGAGGAACAUCAGUGGCGAAGGCGGCCCUCUGGUCCAGUACUGACACUCAAGUGCGAAAGCGUGGGGAGCAAACAGGAUUAGAUACCCCCGUAGUCCCUGAGCGGGCUGGCAAGGCGCAU